CACGCCUACAUCUCUCUUCAUGUUGAAAAAAUCCCUAAUGCCCCAUAUGAGCUGCGCCCCCUUUUCUUUCUUCUGUGGAAAAUAGGCAUCCCUUUUCUCCUCUUUCUUGUCGCCCAAAAAGAUCAAGGAAGAAGGGGGGCAUCCAACCACAAUCUCAUGAGUGGAGUCCCUUAUCUCUCCCUCUCUUUGGAAGAGAUUUUUAGAGAUUUUCUUUGCU
rnacentral:lncRNA from 1 species